rnacentral:rRNA from 1 species
AGUGAACGCUGGCGGUAGGCCUAACACAUGCAAGUCGAACGGCAGCACAGUAAGAGCUUGCUCUUACGGGUGGCGAGUGGCGGACGGGUGAGGAAUACAUCGGAAUCUACUUUUUCGUGGGGGAUAACGUAGGGAAACUUACGCUAAUACCGCAUACGACCUACGGGUGAAAGCAGGGGAUCUUCGGACCUUGCGCGAUUGAAUGAGCCGAUGUCGGAUUAGCUAGUUGGCGGGGUAAAGGCCCACCAAGGCGACGAUCCGUAGCUGGUCUGAGAGGAUGAUCAGCCACACUGGAACUGAGACACGGUCCAGACUCCUACGGGAGGCAGCAGUGGGGAAUAUUGGACAAUGGGCGCAAGCCUGAUCCAGCCAUACCGAGUGGGUGAAGAAGGCCUUCGGGUUGUAAAGCCCUUUUGUUGGGAAAGAAAAGCAGCAGGUUAAUACCCCGCUGUUCUGACGGUACCCAAUGAAUAAGCACGGGCUAACUUCGCG